rnacentral:rRNA from 1 species
GACGAACGCUGGCGGCGUGCUUAACACAUGCAAGUCGAACGGAAAGGCCUCUUUCGGGGGGUACUCGAGUGGCGAACGGGUGAGUAACACGUGAGUAACCUGCCCUUGACUUUGGGAUAACUUCAGGAAACUGGGGCUAAUACCGGAUAGGAGCUCCUGCUGCAUGGUGGGGGUUGGAAAGUUUCGGCGGUUGGGGAUGGACUCGCGGCUUAUCAGCUUGUUGGUGGGGUAUUGGCUUACCAAGGCUUUGACGGGUAGCCGGCCUGAGAGGGUGACCGGCCACAUUGGGACUGAGAUACGGCCCAGACGCCUACGGGAGGCAGCAGUGGGGAAUAUUGCACAAUGGGUGGAAGCCUGAUGCAGCAACGCCGUGUGCGGGAUGACGGCCUUCGGGUUGUAAACCGCUUUCGCUCAUGACGAAGCUUUGUGUGACGGUAGUGGGUAAAGAAGCACCGGCUAACUACGU